GAUGAACGCUGGCGGCGUGCUUAACACAUGCAAGUCGAACGAAGCACCUUGAUUUGAUUCUUCGGAUGAAGAUUUUGGUGACUGAGUGGGCGACGGGUGAAGGUACGCGUAGGGUAACCUGCCUCAUACGAGGGGGAUAACAGUUAGAAAUGACUGCUAAUACCGCAUGAGACCACAGCACCGCAUGGUGCAGGGGUAAAAACUCCGGUGGUAUGAGAUGGACCCGCGUCUGAUUAGCUAGUUGGUGGGGUAACGGCCUACCAAGGCGACGAUCAGUAGCCGGCCUGAGAGGGUGAACGGCCACAUUGGGACUGAGACACGGCCCAA
rnacentral:rRNA from 1 species